ACGCACAACAAAAGCACGCACAAUCACGCAGAUGCCAACUCACCCACGCGCCGCCCCCACCCGCACCGCCACGCCCCCGCCGCCGCCACCGACUCCAACCCCGCCGCCGCAUUCCCUCCCCUCCGCCGCCGCCCUCCGGCAACUGAAGAGGAGCCCCGCGCGCGCGGGGGCCACGGCCCGGGCGGGCGCCGCCAUGUCGGAGAAGGACGUCGUGUGGAAGACGUUCCGGGCGCUGGUGGAGGGCGCCGACCGGAAGUUCGGGCGCGUGCGGGACCUGCCGCCGCACGAGCGGGGGCUGGGCCACUACUUCCCGAAGGUGUUCAAGUCCUACAUGCGCCUCUGGAAGUACCAGCAGGAGCACCGCGCGGAGCUGGUGGCGGCGGGGCUGAACCGGUGGGAGAUCGGGGAGGUCGCCAGCCGGAUCGGGCAGCUCUACUUCGGGCAGUACAUGCGGAGCAGCGAGCUGCGGUUCCUGGUGGAGGCCUACGUGUUCUACGAGGCGAUCCUGAGCCGGCGCUACUUCGAGGGCGCCCAGGCGGUGCGGGAUCUCGGGGUGAGGGCCAAGGAGCUCCGGUUCUACGCCCGGUUCCUGCUGGUCGCCCUGAUCCUGGACCGGACCGACACGGUGAAGCGCCUCGUGGAGCGGUUCGGGGCCGUCCUCGACGACUGCAGGGCCAAUUUCCGGGAAACUAGCUUCAAAGAAUGGAAUAUAGUGGUGCAGGAAAUUAUUCGCUUCAUGAAAGUAGAAAGUGCCUUCAUGAAAGUCCGGCCCUUACGUUACUGUACUGUCCAUGAUACCCACCCAAAGUCUCUUCCUCAUGUAACUCGAUUUCAUGCAAAAAGAAUCUUAAAAUUUCAAGAUGUGGUGCUGACAAGCUACCACCGGAAUGAGGUCAAAUUUGCGGAGCUUACAUUGGAUACUUAUAGAAUGAUGCAGUGUCUGGAGUGGGAGCCGAGUGGAUUAUUCUACCAAAAACAGCCUGUCCAAUCAAAUGAGAAUGGUUCCACUAUAGAUCAUUCUGGAGCCUCUGGGAUUAUUGACAUAAACUUAGGCAUGGAUUUGACUGAUUCUUCCUUGCCGCGCAAUCCAAGGAAGACUGUUCUAUACCGUCCAUCAGUUACGCAAUUGAUUGCAGUUAUUGCUACAAUCUGUGAGGAGCUCCGGUCGGAUACUAUGAUGCUGAUAUAUCUUUCAGCUCCAGGCAGGACGAGCCAUCAUAAUAUUUCACAGGUGGAGAACUCCAAGCUUUCGGCGAAGUUCUCUAGAACCAAAUUCUUUGGUGAAUUUUCUCGCGAACAAAGUUCCUCCACAUCUGAAUCUUCUGUCGAUGAGAAGAACGUGUCAAAUGACUUUUGUGAGGGUUGUUUGUGCUUAGCACCAAGAGGAACCAUGGGUUCGUUCAAUCUCUACCCUGCCGAUAUAAUUCCUUUCACCAGGAAACCCCUUUUUUUGAUCAUUGAUAGCGACAGCAGCCAUACAUUCAAGGCAGGUUGUUCAUGGUGCAGAGAGAGGAGAGACCACUGCCCUGUUUCUUUCUCCUUUGAGGUCUGCAAACAAGAAAAUGCCUGGUGCUGAUAUAGGAGAGAGCGGCAGCCAAUUUACCUUUUUCUUGACGGCUCCUCUUCUAGCAUUUUGCCAAUUAGUAGGUCUCUCUUCAUCCAGUCACGAUGAGGAUGCUUAUAAGGAUGCAGAGAACAUACUUGCCUCUGCCUUCUCUGGAUGGGAAGUAACUCUUUGUACAUCAGCUGACCUGGAUCUGGUUUGGGCUCAAGUUCUAUCAGAUCCGUUUAUCCGCCGCCUAAUAUUGAGAUUCGUGUUCUGCCGGUCUGUGCUUUUCUUCUUUUGUCCACCAGGAAACAAGGAACAGUAUCUGCCGGUUUGCCUGCCCUGUUUGCCCGAGUCACUCUCUCCGACAUCCGACAUUGUGCAUUCUGCUGUGGUUCGGAUCGCAAAUCACCUCCAGGUUGGUGAACACUUUCACUUUGCCGAUGUAUAAACCAGCAUGCAGACAUGACCGUAAAUACUGAGCAGCACAGUGAGAUUCCCGCACAAGUCCUAUCAGGUGAGCUGCCUUCUGGGAGCGGUAGAGGUAUAAAUCGCUAGAGAAGAAGAGGUUGUAAACCAAGCUUAGUUUUAUUUGUUCUUUGAUCCAUUUGAGCAUUGUAAUUUUUGUGGUCUGCUGUAUUUGCUUGAGUGGGUUUCAAUAGUGUACUUUACUAAUUCGUUUCACAUUACUAUGGAAAAAGGAAAAGAAGCAGGAGGCAGAAUGAGAUUGAUUUGUGUACCUUGGUUUUAGGGCUUUUGUGAUGAACAAAAGGGAGUAGUUGCUCCAUGAUGGUAGAGGUGUAAAUUGUGUAUUCUUUGAUUGGAGAAUUAUAGUCACUGACUGAACUUACAGAAA